rnacentral:lncRNA from 1 species
GAUCCUCCUCAGCCUCCUAAGUAGCUGCGACUACAGGCACGCAUCACCAUGCCCGGGUUACUUUUUGUAUUUUUUCUAGAGACAGGGUUUUGUCAUGUUGCCUAGGCUGGUCUCAAACUCCUGGGCUCAAACAAUCCUCCCACCUCAGCGUCCCAAAGUGCUGAGAUUACAGGCCUGAGCCACCAUGCCCAGCCUUUAUUUCUUUUUUUUUUCUCUUCAGCAACAUUGUUCAUGGAAUUAUACCCUUCUUGGAAGACACUGUAUAGUAUUCUUAUUUGAGGUUCACUUGUUCAGUCUACACACUUAUGAGCUGAAGAGGUUGCCCGCCCUCUUGUGGCCAUUAUGCACCACUGCUGGAGUUGCUGUGUGGAACCUCCAAGCUCAAAUAAAACAUGGCCUUCUAAAGACCAGCCCCCGUCAGUGCGCAGAAAGGCUAGUGAGUCAGACCUAAAGAGGGCAUAGACUUGCCCAGCAUCACCCAUUGUAAAGUUGUGGCGACGUCCAGGUCAGAAAACCCAGAUCACAAGCCCACAUGCCCACAGCUCCAUCACCUGGCCAGUCAACACCACUGAAGCCCAAAGGGACUGAAAGCAAUUUUGCCCCUGUUACAAUGUUUGCGUUCUCACCUCUUCCUAAAGAGGCAGCUUAGUCUUUAGAGGAAGAGCUGCAGGAAAGAAAACCCUGGGCCUGGACUGGAUGAAGGGGUGAAGGAUGCACUAGUCUGGAUCACAGAUAGGAGGAAAAAUCAAUCCUGGACCCACCAUUUUUCUGGGAAGGAGGGCUAGUAGCUCCAGACAUCAUAGGAACAGAGCUCAGCAUUUCAGACCUGGAGGUUAGAAGCAGAGGUGGGGGUGGGGAGCUGUGAAAUUAGGAAACUUAGAUGGGUCUUGCAGAAGUAGGUGUGGCUCCACAGGUCAGGGAAUUACGGGUCAAUUGGAUAGCACCUGAGAGUGUUGUGGGGCUGGAAAGCUGGGGUGAGUGAGGCUGCCUGGGUAUUCCGCUUAGGUCUAGGCAUCCUGGCUGAAUACCUUAGAUUUCAGUUCACCACCAGAGAAGCCCGGAAACUCCAGUAAACACAUAUCUUUGGUCCCUUCUACCUGCCUCUAACUUGGCUGGUUGAGGCUCAGCUUCUCUCUAACUAGACUUUUCUGGCUUAUAGGGUACAGCUGUUUGGGAGCUCAAAGAAGGAGAAGGUAAGAAAAAGGGCAGAAAUGCAGAGAGAGGAGAGGAUGGGAUGAAAACGGGGUGUGGAAAAUAUCAGAGGGCGCAUACUGCCCUCAAGUGCACUGGGGGCUUUUGUCCGGGGUCAGAGUAAAGACAAAGAAGAGGCUGCUCAUGAAAGCUGCAGAAACAGUGCCUGGGGGGAUAAGCGGGGGCGGUGCUGGCUGAGACAAGAGACCAUGGGAGUGGGCAUUGUAAAGACCUGCAUUUAUUUAUUUUAUUUAUUUAUUUAUUUAUUUUGAGACAGGGUCUCACUCUGUCGCCCAGACUGGAGCGCAGUGGCAUGAUCUCGGCUCACCGCAACCUCCGCCUACCAGGCUCGAGCGAUUCUCCUGCCUCAGCCUCCUGAGUGGCUGGGACUACAGGCACACGCCACUACCACCCAGCUAAUUUCUGUAUUUCUAGUAGAGAUGGGGUUUCACCAUGUUGGCCAGGCUGGUCUCAAACUCCUAACCUCAAGUGAUUCACUCGCCUCGGUCUCUCAAAGUGCUAGGAUUACAGGCUUGAGCCACCAUGCCCGGCUGAGGCCUGCAUUUAGGAUGGAGGCAUUGAGGUUGAGCACUGAGCUAACUGGAAGCUCAGUGACAGCUUCAGUGAGAAAUGCUUGAGAGUUGUAGCAGACACAAGCUCAUUGUGUGUAUGGUGCCAGGCACACACUGGGUGUUCCGUGACACCUGUUCAGUGAAUGGAAGAAUGAAUAUGUGUAAGCCCACAAGGAGAUGUGACUGAAAAAAAAAGUUGCUAAUUUACAAAUUAGAUAAUUGAAAAUAUUUUUAAAUUUACUUUUUAGCAAUCCUAUAAACAGUGCAUUGUUAACAAUAGUCUUACUUAUAAAUUUGCUCAAGGUCAGUUAAGUAACAAAUGAGCUGUAAUAACCCAGAUCAACCUGACUGCAGGGGCUUCCAGGAAGCCUCCUCUGAUUCCCUACCCAUGCCAUACACUCACUUAGACCCUACUCUCCUAGGAGAACAGAUUAGUGCUGCCCAGAAGCUGGGGCAGGACAUUAGUUUCCUAUUGUCACUGUAAUGAAUUACCACAAAGUGGCUCAAAAAACAAAAUUAUUAUGUUACAGUUCAGAAGUCCAAAAUCAGCUUCACCAGGCUAAAGUCAAAGUGUUGACAGGUCUACACUCCUUCCGUGGGCUCCAGGGAAGAAUGUUUCCUUGCUUUUUCCAGCUUCUAGAUGCUGCUUGCAGUGCUUGAUUCGUGGCUCUUUUCACCAUCUUCAAAGCCAGCAGCAGAGCAUCUUCUCUCCUCUCUAACCUCUGUUUCCAUCCCUACAUCUCUCUAAUUCUACUGCCUCUCACUUGUAAGGAUUACAUUGGGUCUACUGGGAUAAUUCAGUAUCAUCUUCCCAUUGGCAAGAUCCUUAAUUAAAUCCUGCCUUCAAAGUCCCUUUUACCAUUUAAGAUAAAAUGUUCACAGGUUAAGCAGCUGGUGAGUGUCUGUAGUCCCAGCUACUCAGGGGGCUGAGGCUGGAGGAUCACUUGAGCCCAGGAGUUCAGGCCAGCCUGGGCAAUAUAGUAAGACUCUUCUCUUAAAAGAAAAUUUAUAUUUAUCCUCAGGUCCUGGGGAUUAGGAAUUGGACAUCUUUGGGAGAGGGGCUUUUAGCCUGACACAGGCAGGGUGGAAAGUGGGCAGGAGGAUGCACCCAGGCCCAGAAUGAACCUCUGUGCUUUGUCCAGCCUCCCCUAGCCUGGAAUGAGAGGUGGUACCAAGGCGGAGGUGGCAGGUCCAGACCCCAUGUCUAGAGAAUGUCAAAUGCCUCCUGUACCAUCACCACCAGGGAGAGCCAAAGAUGAAGAUCAGGCUUAGGAGAAAGCCUCAGUUUAGGAAUCGUUUUAGACCUGAGACCUUCCUGGUAACCACAGUGGAGGAUUCCUCAACACUGUCUCCUCUCCAGAACCAUUCUGUGCUCCUAUUCCCCAAGGCUGAAGAUAAUUAUAUUCCCAGUGAACUAACCUGGGUUCUCUCUGGAAAGGGCAGAUUGAUUAGUUGUCUUCUUUUUAAAUUGUUAUUUUUAAUUAUUUAAUAGUUAAACCAUGCUUCUCAUAGCAUAGUGAAUUCCAUCACCAGGCCCCUUUCUUAUUUUAUUUUCUUCUUUUUUAAAAAAAUUUUAGACUGGGCACGGUGGCUCAUGCCUGUAAUCCCAGCACUUUGGGAGGCCGAGGAAGGUGGAUCACCUGAGGUCGGGAGUUCGAGACCAGCCUGGCCAACAUGGUGAAACCCCAUCUCUACUAAAAAUACAAAAAUUAUCUGGGCAUGGUGGCGCAUGCCUGUAGUCCCAGCUGCUCAGGAGGCUGAGGCAAGAGAAUUGCUUGAACCCAGGAGGCAGAGGUUGCAGUGAACCGAGAUCAUGCCACUGCACUCCAGCCUGGGCGACAGAGCGAGACUCCGUGUCAAAAAAAAAAAUUAUUAUUUUUUUAAGAGACUGGGUCUCACUGUCACCCAGGCUGGAGGACAGUGAUGUGAUCUUGGCUCACUGUAACUUUGACCUCCUGGGCUCAAGCAAUGCUCCCACCUCAGCCUUCUGAGUAGGACUACAAGUGCACACGAGCAUGUCCAGCUAAUUAAAAAAAAAUUUUUUUUAGAGAUUGGGUCUUACUGUGUUGCUCAGCCUGGUCUUGAACUCCUGGCCUUGAGAAGUCUUCCUGCAUCAGCCUCCCAUAGUGCUGGGAUUACAGGUGUGAGCCACUGUGCCUGGCCUCUUCUUUUGAUCCCUCAUCCCUAUUCUCAUUCCUCUCCCUGUGUCAGUAUAUGUUUGGAUAUGUAUGUAUCUUUGAAAAUAUAUGUAAUUAUGUGCCUAUGUGUUUUAAUAUAUAUAAAUGGUAUACUUUUAUGGUAAGCCAACUUCUGUAAUGAAUUGCUCCCAUAUUUCAGUGAUUUAACACCACAGAUUUAUUUUUAACUUAUUCUACAUGGCACGGGUGUUUCUGGUUGGACAGCUCUCCUCCACUGUCCACUCCAGCUCCCAGGCUUCUUUUAUUUUCAGAUGGUGAUAGCCUCAUCCCAGCAUCAUAAAGUUUCCGGUCAAUUUUUCACCAAGUUGUUUUACUAUCCGUUGAUUAUCAUUUUAUGAAUUGCUUGUUUCACUAGGGAUUACAGAAUGGUGAUUUUCUAAGGCUAUUAAUUUUUCCUCAUUUAUUAGCUCUAAUUCUGUACAGAAAACCUUUUUCACAUCCUCUAGGACCAUUUGAUUACUCCGAAAUAAAAUUCAUACCAGAAUGGCAAGAUAAAUGCUUAAAUCUCUUCCCUUACCGUUUUCAAAGUAGUUAUGUCCUAACAACUUCUAAUGGUGUUCAAUGAUUUUUUUGUUUCACUCUCUUUUUAAAUGAUCUCAAACAACCUGUAGUUCUUAUGCAUUUAAUGUCGUUUAAUCAUUUGCCAUUAUUUUUUGCUUUAUAUUAUAUAAAGUAUCAAGCAUAUACAAAAAUAGAGAAAAUAGUGUAAUGAAUUCCCAGGGACCCAGCUUCAAUAAUUAUCAAUUCAUGGCCAAUCUUGGUUUAUUUAUUCCCUCAACUACUUUCCCCCUAACCAAGAUUAUUUUGAAGCAAAACCAGAUAUCAUACCAAUUUAAUCUGUAAAUGUUUUAGCAUGUAUCUCUAAAAGAUAAGGAUUUUUAUUACCAUUAUUGCACCUAAAAAGUUAAUAAAUUGUCAGUAUAAUAAAAUAUAGUUGGUGUUUAA